rnacentral:misc_RNA from 1 species
ACACAGCUGCAAUUUCUGGUAAGAAUAUAUUUUGUCAAAUUUUGAAUUUGAUUAUGGUGUUUCAUAUCUAGCAUUAUUUGAGUUACUACCAGCAUCUUCUCAGACCUAUUGGCAAAACUAAAUUGCCUAUAUAUAUCUGUUUGCAGUUGCACAUGUAUCUGUAUUCUUUAUUCAAAAUUCACACCCCCAACCUCUAGACCAUGAUAUCAUAGUGUUAAUUCUAUUCUAAAUCCAUCAUUAAAUAUCUCCUACUUCAAACAGUAUCAGAUUGUAACCCCUCAGUUGUGCUUCUAGAAGAAUUGUAUAUAAGUGCAUAGGUUUCUGUUAGGGUGUUGGAACCCUAAGAUAGCAAUUGGAAGGAAUAAGAAGAAUUGCAAGAAAAUGAAGAGAGAAAGGUUCAGAAGAGACUAGAGGAGAAUUAGAAAGUAGAGAAAGAAGAGAGAUUAUUUCGUAAAGAAAUUCUGGAAUUAAUUUACAAGAUGUUUCUCUGAGUUAUAGCAGACUGCCAGCUGAGUAACUACCCCUAAGCUACUGUCAAGUAGGUUUACAACAGAAUAACUGCUCCUA